rnacentral:misc_RNA from 1 species
GCUGUAUGUGUGAUGUUCUAGCUUCAACGUUUGUGAUAGUUGUUGGAAGAAUUCAUUGAAGGACUGUCCAAGGCACGUCCAAUGUUGGUCCCACUACAAGUAGUAUUGUCACCACAACUAGUAUUAACACUACAACUAGUAUUCCCACCACAACAGCAAUUGUCAUUAGAGCUGACUUAAUGGCAGCAAUCGACCAUGUGGGAAUGAAUGUUUU